rnacentral:rRNA from 1 species
AUACGGAGGGUGCGAGCGUUAUCCGGAAUCAUUGGGUUUAAAGGGUCCGUAGGCGGACUAUUAAGUCAGAGGUGAAAUCCCACAGCUCAACUGUGGAACUGCCUUUGAUACUGGUAGUCUUGAGUUAUAUGGAAGUAGAUAGAAUGUGUAGUGUAGCGGUGAAAUGCAUAGAUAUUACACAGAAUACCGAUUGCGAAGGCAGUCUACUACGUAUAUACUGACGCUAAGGGACGAAAGCGUGGGGAGCGAACAGGAUUAGAAACCCAGUAGUCC